UCAGACCUAACACAUGCAAGUCGAGCGAGGACUUCGGUCCUAGCGGCGGACGGGUGAGUAACGCGUGGGAACGUGCCCUUUGCUUCGGAAUAGCCCUGGGAAACUGGGAGUAAUACCGGAUGAGCCCUACGGGGGAAAGAUUUAUCGGCGAAGGAUCGGCCCGCGUUGGAUUAGGUAGUUGGUGGGGUAAUGGCCUACCAAGCCGACGAUCCAUAGCUGGUUUGAGAGGAUGAUCAGCCACACUGGGACUGAGACACGGCCCAGACUCCUACGGGAGGCAGCAGUGGGGAAUCUUUAAAAGUGGGGGAAACCCUGAUCUAGCCAUGCCGCGUGAUUUAAGAGGGCCUUAGGGUUGUAAAGCUCUUCAGCUGGAAGAUA
rnacentral:rRNA from 1 species